rnacentral:lncRNA from 1 species
CAAAGAUCCUAUUUUUUUGUCAGGUUGAAUCUAGAUGCCUAUGGAAAGAGGUUAAGAACAUGGAAUACAUAUGGUCUAUAAUAAGUGGAAACAUAAAAGGACUCGGAGAUCUGGAUUUCUCUUGCAAGCUCUGAGGCACGUCCACUUGUGUUGCUACCUAUUUUCACUGCGGGACCACCACACUCUUCCUCGCCUCAGAGCUUGAUCCCUUCCCCAGUGAUUCAGUGAUUCAGUUCAUCCAGAUAAUCCUGCGAAGAAAUAUCCCACAACCCACAUGAUGCCUCUCUG